CAGUCGCCGCGGGAAUACGAAGGGGGCUAGCGUUGCUCGGAAUUACUGGGCGUAAAGGGAGCGUAGGCGGACAUUUAAGUCAAGGGUGAAAUCCCAGAGCUCAACUCUGGAACUGCCUUUGAUACUGGGUGUCUUGAGUGUGAUAGAGGUAUGUGGAACUCCGAGUGUAGAGGUGAAAUUCGUAGAUAUUCGGAAGAACACCAGUGGCGAAGGCGACAUACUGGAUCAUUACUGACGCUGAGGCUCGAAAGCGUGGGGAGCAAACAGGAUUAGAUACCCCCGUAGUCCCUGUCUCUUAUAC
rnacentral:rRNA from 1 species